AAAGAGAUUCUCACCUUUUUGUUGUGAGCAAUCAUCCAAAAUGGAGUGAAGAAUGUCUUUCAAAUGAAUUAUUUUCUCUUGCAUUCCUACUAGGUAUAAUCUGUUGACUCUAUUCCUUGUCAACUGUGAAGUGCUGUAACUGAACCACCUUCAGCUCCAUGUUUUCUGCAGAAAUCUGAUCACAUCUGGAUAAGGGUAAUUUAACAGGACCACCUGCUGCCCAAGGACAUCUGUUAAGCUAUAGAGUUGAACUAACUUCCAUCAUGCAAAAGAGAGAUUGGACUGCUCACUUUCCUCCAGUGACUGGAAAAUGGUUACCAAGUGGGGGGGAAUUGGCAUAUGUGAUCUGUUUCUACUGUGCUGCUUGACUAGGUACUGAUAAUUCAGCAAUCUGACAGGCUAUGGCUUGGGAGAACAGCACAGUCAUCUUAGAUUAUCUCUUUAGCCUAAAACACAACAAGAGAAAUAUAAGAAAUUGUGACUGAAGUGAAAAUAAAAUAAAAUAAGUAAAAGCAUAAAUGAUAUCAUGCUCCUAAAAUGAAAGGCUCUCAUAUUUUCAUUGUAUUUAAUUUGUGAAGCAUGAGAUGAGGAAUCUGGAACUGCCAAGUCAGUUCAGGAAAUAAGUGGGAAAAUGAAUUGAAAAUUUCAGAAACUUUUUUCCUAGUAGUAUAAAAUGAUAUUUAAAAAAAAUAUCAACAACUAAAAUCUCAUUUUAUGUAAUGUGUUGCCAUUGCUGGGAUUGGAACUGAGAUCAGAAUGAUUUUGAUUCAUUGUUUUCAGAAUGCUGGGGAGCCCCAUAAGAACACUGUGGAGGAUAAUGCAAAAGCUACAGCCGUGUUACCCUAGCUGGCAAAUGAAACUUUGAAAUGACAAACUGUUCUUCAUAACACAAGGGUCAUUCAUUUGUAUUGAGUGAUCAUUGCAGAGGCAGGAGACAGCUGGUGGCAAUGGGAAAUAAUCAGCCAAUUCCUUCAACAACUGGCUACUGUGCAUUUAAUUUGGCAUGCAUAUAUAUACAUGUAAGUAUACAUUGCAGUAUCUUAAAAUGUAUGUAUGUCUCUUUGUGUCUGUGCUUAUUACUGUCAUCUUGUGAAAUUAGUCCUUUCAUGAAAUAAUUACAGGUUUCAGGUAUUUUUGCCAACUGACUGGCAUUACAGGUGUUCUGGAUGAUAUGCCUGGUUCACUCGGUUGUAUAAACUGACAGAAGGUGAAUCCUGGCAUUAUCCAUGUGCUUUCACACUGUGAUUAUGUGGGAAAUAAUGUCUCUAGCCACUUCUUACUAUUCAGGGAAUUAAUAAACAACAGCAGUGAUACAAACCAGAAGACCAGUCAUACAUUUUUCAGUCCUUCAGAAUUUCUCUAGCCAUGGGACAACAUGCCCUUUCGCUGACUCUCCUUCUGGGAACUUCCUUACACUCAAAAUUUCUCUGAGUAGGUUGUUUCCUUUUAACAUCUGUAUUCCUUGCUGGUAUUUCUUUCAAGAUGCUCAUUGGAGUGUGAAGGAGACAGCGUUGUUCUUUGGGUGGGAGUCUCUUCUGUUUGGCUUUGACACAGCACCUAAAUCAUGCUUAUAUCCAAAGGUACUUAAGAAGAUGAGUUGUUUCAUCGUCAGAUUGAAAUAAUCAGGAUACAUUAGGAUUCAAAAAUUCCAGAGAGGGCUUGCACAGAAGUGAUCCAGGACUCCUGCUGUUCUGGUAUUGGCUGUGAUGGAGAAGAGUGGUAGAAAUUGCUCCAAAGGUUUGGGAGAGGGUAGUAAGAUCUGGAGAAAACCAACUCACUCUCUCCAAUCUAGGCAUGCUGCAGGGUCUCAAGGCUCAACUGAAAUCUAAGGCUAGUCCUAUGACUUCACCUCUUGUCCAAGCAUAAUCAAUUGAAAAUAAAUAAAUAAAUAAAUCAGAAAUCUACUGCAAUGCCACUACUGUUGUUUCUGUUUCUCCCCUGGACCUUCCUUGGUCUCCAUCUAAUGAUGCUCAUUGAUGGAGUUCACCACACCAUCUGUUGCUUUCAUGGAUUAUUUGUUCAUGUGCUUCUGAUAUGGAGCCUUUCCCUGGCAGGGAGGUGUGGAUCAUUAAGUCCUAGCACUUGCAAGGGUUGUGUUGUCUGAUUAUUACCAGACCAGGGUAUUCCUGCAUGAAUUGAGGCAAACUUCUGUAGCACCAGUGAAGGUGUACACUGCCUGCAAUGAGCUACACAAAUGAUGGCACUAGAACGAGGUCACCCUGGUUGCAGGGUGUCUACUGUGAGUGGCACUUGUCUGAUGCAUAUGGGCAGGAUUCAUAUUUCUUCCCGUGGCUAUAGGGAUUGGAGAAGCUCCUUGGAGAAGCUCAUUUGAUAGAAAAGGAUAAGCAAACUAAAAAGGUGAAUGCUGAAUCAUGAGUACAUGGAUUGAGAAGAAUUUGUAUGAUAGGAAGAAUUUACUUUCUCUUUGACACUGGCUAGCCAUUCACAUGUUCAC